UUAAGUUAAUAAGGGCGCACGGUGGAUGCCUUGGCACUAGAAGCCGAUGAAGGACGUGACUAACGACGAAAUGCUUUGGGGAGCUGUAAGUGAGCAAUGAUCCAGAGAUGUCCGAAUGGGGGAACCCGGCAGGUAAUGCCUGUCACUCAUUACUGUUAAGGUAAUGUAGAGGAAGACGCAGUGAACUGAAACAUCUAAGUAGCUGUAGGAAGAGAAAGCAAAAGCGAUUGCCUUAGUAGCGGCGAGCGAAACGGCAAGAGGGCAAACCGAAGAGUUUACUCUUCGGGGUUGUAGGACUGCAACGUGGACUUAAAGAUUAUAGAAGAACUACCUGGGAAGGUAGGCCAAAGAGAGUAAUAGCCUCGUAUUCGAAAUAGUCUUUAUACCUAGCAGUAUCCUGAGUACGGCGAGACACGAGAAAUCUCGUCGGAAUCUGGGAGGACCAUCUCCCAACCCUAAAUACUCUCUAGUGACCGAUAGUGAACCAGUACCGUGAGGGAAAGGUGAAAAGCACCCCGGGAGGGGAGUGAAAUAGAACCUGAAACCGUGUGCCUACAACAAGUUCGAGCCCGUUAAUGGGUGAGAGCGUGCCUUUUGUAGAAUGAACCGGCGAGUUACGAUAUGAUGCGAGGUUAAGUUGAAGAGACGGAGCCGUAGGGAAACCGAGUCUUAAUAGGGCGCAUUAGUAUCAUGUCGUAGACCCGAAACCAUGUGACCUACCCAUGAGCAGGUUGAAGGUGAGGUAAAACUCACUGGAGGACCGAACCAGGGCACGUUGAAAAGUGCUUGGAUGACUUGUGGGUAGCGGAGAAAUUCCAAACGAACUUGGAGAUAGCUGGUUCUCUCCGAAAUAGCUUUAGGGCUAGCGUCGAUGUUAAGUCUCUUGGAGGUAGAGCACUGUUUGGGUGAGGGGUCCAUCCCGGAUUACCAAUCUCAGAUAAACUCCGAAUGCCAAUGAGAUAUAAUCGGCAGUCAGACUGCGAGUGCUAAGAUCCGUAGUCGAAAGGGAAACAGCCCAGACCACCAGCUAAGGUCCCAAAAUAUAUGUUAAGUGGAAAAGGAUGUGGGGUUGCACAGACAACUAGGAUGUUAGCUUAGAAGCAGCUAUUCAUUCAAAGAGUGCGUAAUAGCUCACUAGUCGAGUGACCCUGCGCCGAAAAUGUACCGGGGCUAAAACAUAUUACCGAAGCUGUGGAUACCUUUUAUAGGUAUGGUAGGAGAGCGUUCUAUGUGCGAAGAAGGUGUACCGUGAGGAGUGCUGGAGCGCAUAGAAGUGAGAAUGCCGGUAUGAGUAGCGAAAGACAGGUGAGAAUCCUGUCCACCGUAAGACUAAGGUUUCCAGGGGAAGGCUCGUCCGCCCUGGGUUAGUCGGGACCUAAGGAGAGACCGAAAGGUGUAUCCGAUGGACAACAGGUUGAUAUUCCUGUACUAGAGUAUAUAGUGAUGGAGGGACGCAGUAGGCUAACUAAACCAGACGAUUGGAAGUGUCUGGCCAAGCAGUGAGGUGUGAUAUGAGUCAAAUGCUUAUAUCUUUAACAUUGAGCUGUGAUGGGGAGCGAAGUUUAGUAGCGAAGUUAGUGAUGUCACACUGCCGAGAAAAGCUUCUAGCGUUAAUUAUACUCUACCCGUACCGCAAACCGACACAGGUAGUCGAGGCGAGUAGCCUCAGGUGAGCGAGAGAACUCUCGUUAAGGAACUCGGCAAAAUGGCCCCGUAACUUCGGGAGAAGGGGCGCUGACUGAUGGUCAGCCGCAGUGAAUAGGCCCAAGCAACUGUUUAUCAAAAACACAGCUCUCUGCUAAAUCGUAAGAUGAUGUAUAGGGGGUGACGCCUGCCCGGUGCUGGAAGGUUAAGAGGAGUGCUUAGCGUAAGCGAAGGCAUGAAUUGAAGCCCCAGUAAACGGCGGCCGUAACUAUAACGGUCCUAAGGUAGCGAAAUUCCUUGUCGGGUAAGUUCCGACCCGCACGAAAGGCGUAAUGAUUUGGGCACUGUCUCAACGAGAGACUCGGUGAAAUUUUAGUACCUGUGAAGAUGCAGGUUACCCGCGACAGGACGGAAAGACCCCAUGGAGCUUUACUGCAGUUUGAUAUUGAGUAUCUGUACCACAUGUACAGGAUAGGUAGGAGCCUAUGACCUCGGGACGCCAGUUUCGAGUGAGGCGUUGUUGGGAUACUACCCUUGUGUUAUGGCUACUCUAACCCAGAUAGGUUACCCCUAUCGGAGACAGUGUCUGACGGGCAGUUUGACUGGGGCGGUCGCCUCCUAAAAGGUAACGGAGGCGCCCAAAGGUUCCCUCAGAAUGGUUGGAAAUCAUUCGCAGAGUGUAAAGGUAUAAGGGAGCUUGACUGCGAGAGCUACAACUCGAGCAGGGACGAAAGUCGGGCUUAGUGAUCCGGUGGUUCCGUAUGGAAGGGCCAUCGCUCAACGGAUAAAAGCUACCCUGGGGAUAACAGGCUUAUCUCCCCCAAGAGUUCACAUCGACGGGGAGGUUUGGCACCUCGAUGUCGGCUCGUCGCAUCCUGGGGCUGUAGUCGGUCCCAAGGGUUGGGCUGUUCGCCCAUUAAAGCGGCACGCGAGCUGGGUUCAGAACGUCGUGAGACAGUUCGGUCCCUAUCCGUCGCGGGCGUAGGAAAUUUGAGAGGAUCUGCUCCUAGUACGAGAGGACCAGAGUGGACUUACCGCUGGUGUACCAGUUGUUCUGCCAAGAGCAUCGCUGGGUAGCUAUGUAGGGAAGGGAUAAACGCUGAAAGCAUCUAAGUGUGAAGCCCACCUCAAGAUGAGAUUUCCCAUGAUUUUAUAUCAGUAAGAGCCCUGAGAGAUGAUCAGGUUGAUAGGUUAGAAGUGGAAGUGUGGUGACACAUGUAGCGGACUAAUACUAAUAGCUCGAGGACUUAUCC
rnacentral:rRNA from 1 species